rnacentral:rRNA from 1 species
GACGAACCGUGCGAACGUUAUUCGGAUUCACUGGGCUUAAAGGGCGCGUAGGCGGACGAGCAAGUCCGGGGUGAAAUCUUUCGGCUUAACCGGAAAAGUGCCUGGGAAACUGCUCGUCUUGAGGGAGGUAGGGGCCUGUGGAACUUCCGGUGGAGCGGUGAAAUGCGUUGAUAUCGGAAGGAACGCCGGUGGCGAAAGCGACGGGCUGGCCCUCCACUGACGCUGAGGUGCGAAAGCGUGGGGAGCAAACAGG